GGGCCCAAGAAGUCUCGCGAUACCAGGAAAUCCCGAAGCAGCUCGCGUUAGGGGCUGGCGGAGCGGAGCGGGGAAGUAGUUGGCCGUGACGCUAGGCUAGAGCCUUUAGCCGUCACCGUUGUCACGGAAACGCCAGGUAGUCACAAUAAUUGACAUGAGGUGAGAGGGUGAAAUGUAGGCCCCAGCCAUCUAGGCCCUCUGCUGGCACUGGAUGAAAUCUCUCAAGGAUGAUAUUGACUCAGUUUGGUGACAAGGAGAAAGGCUGAGGAACGAGACACUCAUACUCAUGCGUUCCUCUUUUCUCCCUUCCCCGUAUUGUUCAUCUUCAGCCAGGAACUUCCAGUCUGAGAGCAGCAUGGGAAGGUGAUAGGGAUGCUGAAAGAUAAAGGAAACCUGCCUCUCACUUCCUCAAGUUGCUAAAGAAUCAAGAGUACAAUGAAAAGGGAACAUCAUUUUAUUGACAGAACUAAGUUUUAUACUGAGAAAUAGAAGAAUUACAUAAUAGUCUUUUUUCAGUUUCUUUAAGACUUGGUCUAUGACCCUAAAAUUUAAAAUACAAAAUAGUGAGAGUCAUCCAGCUCAGCAUCUCCCAGUCGCUCUGUGCAUGUCAAACUGGUAACAACACAGCCCUCUCAAUCUGAUUACCAGCUCUGGUAAAAGGUCUAAGUAAGAGGGACGUUUUAUUUAAAAUGCUAAAUAAAGUCCAGAGUCAGGAUUAAGGGGAGUGAAGGAGGUACCCACUCUCCAUAAAGCUUAAUGCUUAUGAUAUCUCUCCCAGUCCUUGUGUAAGAAAAUCUGAGAGAACUAACAUAAGAAAACCUUCCAGAGCUAUAACUGCUCUGGCCUCUGAAAGUGGUAACAGAUUCAGAAGCAGUGGGCAAAGAUAUAGAAGCAAAAGAUGGAGUACGUUGAAGAGUAAUAAUAACACAUCUUUCUCACUGUUCAGUCACCUGUUGGGCUGCUUGCUGACAUAUGGUAUUGUUUUUGAAAACCAUACCACAGAGAGCAGAGCAGAUCAUGGUUCAUAACCAUGUGGUUAGUCACUUCUUUAUAUUUCCAAGAGUUCCCAAUAUUGUUUGUUGUAUAGGUUCAGCACUUAUUUUAAGUGGAUUCUUUUAUGACUGCUUUGUUUCUUUACUUUCCUUUGAGGGGAAUCUUUCAUGAUUAGGAAUCAGGGGGGGAUUGAAGACUAUUCUUUGCUGCAUGGUUGGAUUUGUUCUACCCCAAGUGGUGAUGUCAAAUUGGAAAAUAAUUAGUAUUUAAGGACCAUCAAAGUCAACAGUUACAUCACCAAACUAUGUAUUCUUUAAAACCAAUUCUCUGCUGAACCAUCAGUAGAUUAAUUAGAAUAUAGACUUACGUUAAAGCUUCUGAGUAAUUAUAAUGCGGAGAGACGCCUAGAAACUUCUGUACUUCAUCCAUUACUGUAGCAGGAUCAGUUCUUAGCUGUUGCCCAUCAAUAAUUAGCAACUAAAUUAUCAAAGAAAAUUUAAAAAAAGAUAAAGUACACUAUAAAAAAGCCAUAUAACUAUAAAAUUAAAAAAUCUGCAUUCUAAAUUUAUUCAAUAUGAGUUAUGGUAUUGAGGGGAUUCCCAUCCCCUGUUGUUAGAUUUAACGAGAUCGUCCUCAUGAAUGACCUAGGAUGAAAAAUAAAGCACAAUCCUUCAUUUUGCUAAUGUUUUGUAAUCUGAGAAAUCCUGUAAACUCUACAACAAACAAACAAACGAACAAACACUUAAGGGCACCAAAGAGAGCUUACAGGUCUUACAGGUGACUACAAAAUCACCUAUGGAAACCAAACUUAAAAACCAACAAAACGGUAAUUCUAGCUUGGAAGGAGCCCUUGAAAGAGGAGAGAUGAUAAGAACACCAGGUGUGACAGGACUGAGGACAUGCCGCUCUCCACGAUCCCAUUUAAAGGAGAAACAACAAAGUUUUAAGAAAGACUUUGGUAAUCCAUUUGGAGAAAAAGGUGAGAAUCACAGAGAACCUGAACAUGGACAGAAGUUCCUCCGCAGCAGGAAGAACUUGCUUGUUACUUUGGUGAGCGAGCGGGAGGGCCAUAGAGCCUGCAAGGCAACUCUUGCUCACCCCUUUUCUCCAACAUUUCCAUUUGGUCUGGGCCAGCAUUUGACAUGUGGCCAAUGUAACUGAGAUUUUAUAUAAUUUUAAUAGUGAUAUGUGGUACCAGCUAUCCUAUUGGACAGCAAGGAUCUAGACACACAGGUAGACACCACGCCCGAUGGGGCUGAUUUUUAUAAUUUAUGUUGAUGCCGGGCAAAUGAGAGAAGCAGGAAGCCAAGAAAAACUUUGUAGUUAUGAAAAAUUCUGGAAGGUGGUUGGAAGGGAAAUAAUGGCACUUAAUUAAGAGCAACAACAUUUGCCUACUUUGGUUAAGAGGGAUUCAAGUUUACUCUCAGGAGAAGAAUGAGGGUUAUGAAGCUCUUACAGUCAGGAAAGAUAUGCACUAGAAAAUGGGCAAAGAGAAUUAUCCUGAAAUACUUUUAGAAAGAAAACUGGGUUUUCUACCAUGGCUUAUUUAUUAGUCUUUUCAGCAGUCUCAUUUACAACUACAGAGUAAAAGCUAGUAAUGUUUUAAUGAGUAAAAAUUUCAUUUAUCCUAGAGGCAAAAUCAUCAACUUAAUGAGAUUGUAACACAGUGUAAAUUAUUAUUGCUCACUACCUGAAAGGGGGGGAAAUAAACAAGCCAUCUCUCAAUGUGGCUGGCAUACCACCCAGGCACCAAGCAUCUUUUCUGCAAGGCUCUGAGCUCAGAGGGGGCCCGGGGCCCAGCAGAGAUCACUUCAUAGAAGCUAAACUUCAGAGCUGCGGGGUCUUCAUGUGAUCGCUGAUGCUAGGAGGAAAAGGUAGAUGAUUAAACUAACUUGAUCCAUAGGCAUAAAUAAUUAAACACCAAUUUCUGUGACAAGUUUCAAAGCUAAAGGAAGCAGGGCCAGAGACUUAUUUACUUUGCAAUUAAUAAAGGAUGAAAACAUUUGCUUGGAGCAUGAGGAUUUAAAGUUAUGUCACCAAGGAGAGUACAUUUUUGAGAGCUUGUUUGGUAGAGGCUAUAUAUUCUUAUUGUUAGGAUCCCUUAACCAAUUCCACCAAGUUGUUUCCUUAGUGUAUAUAUUUUAUUCUGAAAAGUAAACUUUUGAAAGUUGCAUUAAGGCCCCCUUUUCAGCCCAUAAGCAAACCAUUUAUCAUGUCUAGAGAAUCUCCAUUAUGCACAUGCUCUCUACUAGUUCUGCCACACAGUUUUGCUUCAUCUAGUAAUGCAGGUUUAGAUUAGAAAAGCCCCAUUGGCUAUUUUAAGUGGAGAAACUACUGAAAACUCUGACAUGUACAUUAUCUGAAAUCCGCAGCUUUUGUCAUAUACUACCUAGCCUCUAAAAGCCAAGAUUAUUUUACCUAAUGGUAACCUCUGCGAUGAAUCAGAAUCACUUAUUAUAUGGAAAAGGCAGAAAGCAGCAAUCCAAAUAGUAAAGUGUUUCAUAAUAACCCCAGUUCAAGCCCAUGGGUUUGAGGGAAUUAGCUUUUCCCUGAAUUGACCAAUAUAUAUUCAGGCUUAGUGGUGGGCUUGUGGAUGUUUACCACAUCCAGUGAAAUAGCAAAUUUGCUGCAAUUGAGAUUCAAAUCACUGUACAACAAACUCUGCUAGACUUUGUUAAGGCCUGCAUUUUGCCCCUGCGGAGUGAUUUAUUUGUAAUAUGGAGGAUGUUUUGUUUAGCCUGCAGACUUGAAACCUCCUUUUUCAGUAAAUUCUCAAUUUUUCUGGGGCUAAGUGGCUGCCAAGCUCCAAUUUUCUUCUUUCUUUUUGAGUCAAUUAAGGCUUAUCUCUAUUUUCUCCAGGUAUCUGGCAGAAAAGGUAAAAGGCACAAAAUCAAAUCAGUCAAUUUGCAGUUUGCUGUAUAUUUGGAUUUGAAAGAUGACUCUAGAAGUUUGGCAUGGAUGAUUAGAGUGGAAGUGUAGACUUCAGCUCUGCGGGGUAUCUCACUCCCUGUCAUGCAGAUCAUUAUGGAUAUGACUAUCUAAGAUUCCAUCUGCUCCAGGUGACCUUUCCCCACUCCUUUCCAACCUCCAAACCGAUCUUGGACAAUCUGUUCUUCUUUUGUGAACUGGGAAAAAUGGAUUUUCUCAAAUAAAAAAAGGACUCUGUGCUGAGAAACUUUAUGCUCUGAUAUUACAGAGGGCCGGGAAUUUAGCUGUAGGAAAUCCUAUUAGUGGAGUGGAAGAGUCCACUCUUUCCUGCAGGAGCUGGGCUCUGAGGGUCCCUUUCACACAAAGAAGCACCUUAUUUCCCACCCAGGUGCAGUUUCAGAUAACAGGCUAUGGGAUACAGCAUUCCACAUUUAUCUUAACUUCAUCCUUUCCAAGGAAAUAAUUGGGUUUUGAACCUGACCUGCUGAUAACUCCUUUUUGCAACUAUCGCAACACUCCAUUUUAAUUUUACCUAAAUUUCUCUCCUUAUAAAUCCUUCCCUUCAGGGAAAUGGUUCCUGUAGGGUUUGGGAUCCUCUGUUGCAGCGGAUUAAUUUACCUAACUUGUCCCUGGUGGUUUUAUCAAGAGGCUUGUUCACUCUACAACUCUGCCAUUUUCUACUUUGUAAUUUACAUGCUGGUUAUUUACAUGUAUCUCUCCAAUUAGACAGCAGUCUAGCAUGUGGCAUCCGCCUUUAUUAACUUAUUUUCAAAUUACCCUUAGAAACAAUACUUGGCACAUGGUAGUCAUUACAACUAUUUGUUGAAUGGAAGAACACAUUAACAUGAGGAAGUGGUUUUUAAAUUACAAAAUGAAGGGGUGAUAACUAAGGGUUCUGGGAGACUAAAGACACUGACUUAAUUUUGCUAUGUUUUCAUAUUUAAUUUUGACAACUAUUUAUUGAACUUUUCUACUUGGUGAUGAAAAUUUCACUGGGGCAGGGUUUUUUUUUUUCUAUUAUGUUUAAUCAUUUAUUAAAGCAAAAAUGUAUUCGCUAUGUAAAUAUUAUUAUUAGAGUGUUGAAUUAUUAUUAGAGUCUAUUCUUAACUAUAUCAGAAAUGUGAUGGCAAUCAGUGUAUUAGGAAGAGCUUGGACCAGGAUUUAGCCUGGCUGGGCUAUUAAGGAUGAAGAAUUAUUAUAUUUUAGCUUUACUAAGUUGUUUCUUCACUUAAGGCAGUUAUUUAAACUCUUUAGGGUCAAAUUUGGCUUGCUGCUUGUUUUUUUUAAAUAAAGUUUUAUUGGAACACAGCUGUGCUCAUUCAAUUAGAUAUUGGUUAAAGUUGCUUUGCUGCUAAAAUGACAGGCUUGCAACACAGACCAACCGUGUGGCCCACAAAGCCUGAAAUAUUUACUUGCUAGUACUUUACACAAAAAAGCAGUGACUUCUUGAGGGAAUCAGCCACUCUCCUCAUCCAUAAAUAAUAAUAGCACCAUGUAUUUGAUGUAUUUGAUGUGGAUGUAUUAGAUGAAAAAUAAUGAUUUUAGAUAACAUUGUAAUG